rnacentral:rRNA from 1 species
AGUUUUGAGCUAAAUAUAUUAUAAUAUUAGUUAUUUAUAAAGGUGUUGUAAAACCUUAUUAAAAAUUAUAUUUAGGGGUGAUAGGCCUUUCAAAAACUAAGAUAUCUUGAAUCUAAUUAAAAGUAUGUAGUACAUUCGACACAACUAUUAAGUGAUUAGGCUUUAUAGAAUUAUUAACUUAUAAAGAUUUUAUUUACUAUAAUUUAAUAAUUAAGUAUGCAAAUAUAUUAAUAUAUAUAUAUUAUAAUUUAUAAAGAGUAAUUAGAUAAAUUAAAGUUCAUAAAUUUUGUAAUAAUGUUAAUAUUAGUAUUAAGUUUAUAUUUAUAUGAUGAACUCGGCAAAAAUGCUUCUCAACUGUUUAUCAAAAACAUAACUAUGUGAAUUAAUACAUAGCGGUUUCUGCUCAA